CACAACGAAGCGCUGUUGUGCACGUUUGUAUACACGCCGACAACCACCUAUCCACACUAGCGCAGCGACGGUGCUGCCACCUGUAGCCCGAUCUCGCAGCGAAUACUACAUUUUCUAAGCCCUGGAGCCAAAUGGUCAUUACUAGCACUGCAAAAAAACAAACUUAGGCUAUUAGGAGUUCAAUUCAUUUAUUGGUCAGGAACAAGUUGUGCCAGUUUACAAAAGGCAUGAGCAGAUCUAGGGAAACAUUCCAGGCUUAGAAUGAUUUGUACAUGCAGUUUUUACAUUCUCAAGCCUCCAGUGGCCUAGGUACAUUCUGUUAGAAAUUUUAGUAACCCUUGCCACACUCCUUAGUGGUCUGACGAAUCUGUAGACCAAGUCUGCUUGGCGUCCGCAAAGCUUUGCCUCGAUACGUCUUUUUGUCAGUUUCUCGUGAUCUGCUGAAAGUUGUCUACGGGCCGUUGCUACAAGAGUGUGAAAAGGCUCCUUUAGUAGUUCGCACUGCCAUGUGCAUACAUGCCGCAUGACACAAAAAGAAGUCUUUAGAAAGUAUUCUAAGGCCCCUCAGAGCAACAUUUCUCUAGAAAUGAAAUGGUGUUCAGCGGAGCACCUGAAAGCAAGCCACAAUUAGCGACUGUAUAUCGAAUCCACCCGCCUCUUUGCAUGCAAAGUAGCAUUGUCUUGCUAGGGCUUUGUAUACGAAAACUUACAGACGCUAUUGUGUGCCAUCCCUUUUACAAUGCAGUUUUGACAUCCGGCAGUACAGCUUGCUCUGAAAGACCAAAAACUGUCUUGGGACGGAAAGGUGGGGAGUUGGAACCUAUCCAUCAUUGGGUAGCGCACAAACAAACAAGACACGAAGGAAGAAGACGGGACAAGCGCUGGUCUAACAACUGGACCAGCGCUUGUCCUGUCUUCUUCCUCAGUGUCUUGUUCGUUUGUGCUCUACCCAACGAUGAAAAACUGUCUUCUGACACUUGCAAUGUGGUCUUCAGUGCAUUGUAAAUUUGACAUGCUGCAAUGAUAUUACUAUGUUCAGUGCUUAUCUACAAUAAACUUGACAUGUGCAUGUUAAAGGUAGCUGAGCAAUGCAUUGCCCCCGCGAGAGGCUCAUAAUAAGCCAUCGUAGCCAAUGACCUGCAUUAUCAAACAUUUUCUACUUUUUCAAGCUGCGCCUUUAUCGUGUCUGUUCACUAGCUGUGCACCAAACUCCUUUUAUGCUAAAAGUGAACAAGUUGUGAAUAGUUUAUAGAAAAAUAAAACACAUGUGACAAUUAUGCGCUCAUA
rnacentral:lncRNA from 1 species